UACGUAGGGACCAAGCGUUGUUCGGAAUUACUGGGCGUAAAGCGCACGUAGGCGGCUUUGUAAGUUAGAGGUGAAAGCCCGGAGCUCAACUCCGGAACUGCCUUUAAGACUGCAUCGCUUGAAUCCAGGAGAGGUGAGUGGAAUUCCGAGUGUAGAGGUGAAAUUCGUAGAUAUUCGGAAGAACACCAGUGGCGAAGGCGGCUCACUGGACUGGUAUUGACGCUGAGGUGCGAAAGCGUGGGGAGCAAACAGG
rnacentral:rRNA from 1 species